GAUGAACGCUAGCUACAGGCUUAACACAUGCAAGUCGAGGGGCAGCAUGAAAUCAGCUUGCUGAUUUUGAUGGCGACCGGCGCACGGGUGAGUAACGCGUAUCCGACCUGCCCCGUACUCAUGGAUAGCCUUGCGAAAGCAAGGGUAAUACAUGAUGUUGUCAUUGUUCUGCAUGGGAUGAUGACCAAAGGUUUACCGGUACGGGAUGGGGAUGCGUAACAUUAGGUAGUAGGCGGGGUAACGGCCCACCUAGCCUACGAUGUUUAGGGGUUCUGAGAGGAAGGUCCCCCACACUGGAACUGAGACACGGUCCAGACUCCUACGGGAGGCAGCAGUGAGGAAUAUUGGUCAAAUGGUCGAGAGACUGAACCAGCCAAGUAGCGUGCAGGAUGACGGCCCUCCGGGUUGUAAACUGCUUUUAGUGGGAAUAAAGUUCGGGACGUGUCCCGUUUUGUAUGUACCAUCAGAAAAAGGACCGGCUAAUUCCGUGCCAGCAGCCGACGG
rnacentral:rRNA from 1 species